GCGACUUCUACCACUUGAUGGACUGCACCUAAUAGUAACCACUGUUUGAACUCUAUCAUGGCCUGAGUUGUGUCUCCUCAAAAUUCAAAUGUUGAAGCCCUAUUUGGAGAUAGGAACCUUAAGAAGGCAAUUAAGAGGAAAGGCUGUGUGAGGAUGGAACAAGAAAGCAGCCAUCUGCAAGCCAGGAAGAGUGAUCUCACCAGAAGUUGAAUUUGCUGGCACCUUGAUCUUGAACUUCUAGCCACCAUAACUGGAGAAAACAAAUGUCUGUUGUUUAAGGCCCA
rnacentral:lncRNA from 10 species